rnacentral:rRNA from 1 species
AUUGAACGCUGGCGGCAGGCUUAACACAUGCAAGUCGAGCGGGGUGAUGGUGCUUGCACUAUCACUUAGCGGCGGACGGGUGAGUAAUGCUUAGGAAUCUGCCUAUUAGUGGGGGACAACAUCUCGAAAGGGAUGCUAAUACCGCAUACGUCCUACGGGAGAAAGCAGGGGAUCACUUGUGACCUUGCGCUAAUAGAUGAGCCUAAGUCGGAUUAGCUAGUUGGUGGGGUAAAGGCCCACCAAGGCGACGAUCUGUAGCGGGGCUGAGAGGAUGAUCCGCCACACUGGGACUGAGACACGGCCCAGACUCCUACGGGAGGCAGCAGUGGGGAAUAUUGGACAAUGGGGGGAACCCUGAUCCAGCCAUGCCGCGUGUGUGAAGAAGGCCUUAUGGUUGUAAAGCACUUUAAGCGAGGAGGAGGCUCUUUUGGUUAAUACCCAAGAUGAGUGGACGUUACUCGCAGAAUAAGCACCGGCUAACUCUGUGCCAGCCGCCGCAGUAA